GGGUUGUGAGGUUAAGCGACUAAGCGUACACGGUGGAUGCCCUGGCAGUCAGAGGCGAUGAAGGACGUGCUAAUCUGCGAUAAGCGUCGGUAAGGUGAUAUGAACCGUUAUAACCGGCGAUUUCCGAAUGGGGAAACCCAGUGUGAUUCGUCACACUAUCAUUAACUGAAUCCAUAGGUUAAUGAGGCGAACCGGGGGAACUGAAACAUCUAAGUACCCCGAGGAAAAGAAAUCAACCGAGAUUCCCCCAGUAGCGGCGAGCGAACGGGGAGSAGCCCAGAGCCUGAAUCAGUGUGUGUGUUAGUGGAAGCGUCUGGAAAGGCGCGCGAUACAGGGUGACAGCCCCGUACACAAAAAUGCACAURCUGUGAGCUCGAUGAGUAGGGCGGGACACGUGGUAUCCUGUCUGAAUAUGGGGGGACCAUCCUCCAAGGCUAAAUACUCCUGACUGACCGAUAGUGAACCAGUACCGUGAGGGAAAGGCGAAAAGAACCCCGGCGAGGGGAGUGAAAAAGAACCUGAAACCGUGUACGUACAAGCAGUGGGAGCACGCUUCGGCGUGUGACUGCGUACCUUUUGUAUAAUGGGUCAGCGACUUAUAUUCUGUAGCAAGGUUAACCGAAUAGGGGAGCCGAAGGGAAACCGAGUCUUAACUGGGCGUUAAGUUGCAGGGUAUAGACCCGAAACCCGGUGAUCUAGCCAUGGGCAGGUUGAAGGUUGGGUAACACUAACUGGAGGACCGAACCGACUAAUGUUGAAAAAUUAGCGGAUGACUUGUGGCUGGGGGUGAAAGGCCAAUCAAACCGGGAGAUAGCUGGUUCUCCCCGAAAGCUAUUUAGGUAGCGCCUCGUGAAUUCAUCUCCGGGGGUAGAGCACUGUUUCGGCAAGGGGGUCAUCCCGACUUACCAACCCGAUGCAAACUGCGAAUACCGGAGAAUGUUAUCACGGGAGACACACGGCGGGUGCUAACGUCCGUCGUGAAGAGGGAAACAACCCAGACCGCCAGCUAAGGUCCCAAAGUCAUGGUUAAGUGGGAAACGAUGUGGGAAGGCCCAGACAGCCAGGAUGUUGGCUUAGAAGCAGCCAUCAUUUAAAGAAAGCGUAAUAGCUCACUGGUCGAGUCGGCCUGCGCGGAAGAUGUAACGGGGCUAAACCAUGCACCGAAGCUGCGGCAGCGACACUAUGUGUUGUUGGGUAGGGGAGCGUUCUGUAAGCCUGUGAAGGUGURCUGUGAGGYAUGCUGGAGGUAUCAGAAGUGCGAAUGCUGACAUAAGUAACGAUAAAGCGGGUGAAAAGCCCGCUCGCCGGAAGACCAAGGGUUCCUGUCCAACGUUAAUCGGGGCAGGGUGAGUCGACCCCUAAGGCGAGGCCGAAAGGCGUAGUCGAUGGGAAACAGGUUAAUAUUCCUGUACUUGGUGUUACUGCGAAGGGGGGACGGAGAAGGCUAUGUUGGCCGGGCGACGGUUGUCCCGGUUUAAGCGUGUAGGCUGGUUUUCCAGGCAAAUCCGGAAAAUCAAGGCUGAGGCGUGAUGACGAGGCACUACGGUGCUGAAGCAACAAAUGCCCUGCUUCCAGGAAAAGCCUCUAAGCAUCAGGUAACAUCAAAUCGUACCCCAAACCGACACAGGUGGUCAGGUAGAGAAUACCAAGGCGCUUGAGAGAACUCGGGUGAAGGAACUAGGCAAAAUGGUGCCGUAACUUCGGGAGAAGGCACGCUGAUAUGUAGGUGAAGCGACUUGCUCGUGGAGCUGAAAUCAGUCGAAGAUACCAGCUGGCUGCAACUGUUUAUUAAAAACACAGCACUGUGCAAACACGAAAGUGGACGUAUACGGUGUGACGCCUGCCCGGUGCCGGAAGGUUAAUUGAUGGGGUUAGCGCAAGCGAAGCUCUUGAUCGAAGCCCCGGUAAACGGCGGCCGUAACUAUAACGGUCCUAAGGUAGCGAAAUUCCUUGUCGGGUAAGUUCCGACCUGCACGAAUGGCGUAAUGAUGGCCAGGCUGUCUCCACCCGAGACUCAGUGAAAUUGAACUCGCUGUGAAGAUGCAGUGUACCCGCGGCAAGACGGAAAGACCCCGUGAACCUUUACUAUAGCUUGACACUGAACAUUGAGCCUUGAUGUGUAGGAUAGGUGGGAGGCUUUGAAGUGUGGACGCCAGUCUGCAUGGAGCCGACCUUGAAAUACCACCCUUUAAUGUUUGAUGUUCUAACGUUGRCCCGUKAUCCGGGUUGCGGACAGUGUCUGGUGGGUAGUUUGACUGGGGCGGUCUCCUCCUAAAGAGUAACGGAGGAGCACGAAGGUUGGCUAAUCCUGGUCGGACAUCAGGAGGUUAGUGCAAUGGCAUAAGCCAGCUUGACUGCGAGCGUGACGGCGCGAGCAGGUGCGAAAGCAGGUCAUAGUGAUCCGGUGGUUCUGAAUGGAAGGGCCAUCGCUCAACGGAUAAAAGGUACUCCGGGGAUAACAGGCUGAUACCGCCCAAGAGUUCAUAUCGACGGCGGUGUUUGGCACCUCGAUGUCGGCUCAUCACAUCCUGGGGCUGAAGUAGGUCCCAAGGGUAUGGCUGUUCGCCAUUUAAAGUGGUACGCGAGCUGGGUUUAGAACGUCGUGAGACAGUUCGGUCCCUAUCUGCCGUGGGCGCUGGAGAACUGAGGGGGGCUGCUCCUAGUACGAGAGGACCGGAGUGGACGCAUCACUGGUGUUCGGGUUGUCAUGCCAAUGGCACUGCCCGGUAGCUAAAUGCGGAAGAGAUAAGUGCUGAAAGCAUCUAAGCACGAAACUUGCCCCGAGAUGAGUUCUCCCUGACUCC
rnacentral:rRNA from 1 species